AGCAAGAGGGGGAUGUGGUCCCUUCUUCGACUCAUAGUGGGUCCUGGGAUGUCCCUGCUGAUCUCAGUCAACUGGCCUCACUCCUUGCCUCUCACUUCUCUCAGUAAACCAAGCAGGAAGAAUUUGGGAGCCCGAGCCUGACAGCCUUCCUGGAGCUGCUGAGGCAGACAGUGAGGGCACUCUGGGGCUCCUUCUUGUGUGCUGAGUGAUCCUCUCUGUCCUCUAUCCCUGCCUUCCUCUGACCGUAAUGCUGCUUUAUGUCCCGUCUGCUGACCUGAGGGCAAGACCUCACCUGGAAGAUGUCAAAUCCACAGACGCCUGGUGAGAAGUGCACCGGCAUCUCAUCUGGACGAUUCUGCCUAAGGCUUCCUGGAAAUGGCUGCUGCAGCAUGGGCUCGUGGGCCCCACAGGAACUCAUAACGUGGAGGAUCGCUGUUGGCAACCUGGCGGUACUCCAGGUACUUCAUCGUCACAAAGUCUUUGGUGAUGAGCUUCCUGGGCUCUCCGUAGAUGAAGUGUUUUCUCCCAGCAUAUACUCGCAUCAUAUUCAAGAAUUUCCAGAUAUCUUCCUCAGCGGCACAGUUGCCCUUCACGAAGACCACACCCAGAACUGUCAUCAAGAGACCGGUCUUAGCUUCAUCUAGCCCAUCAUGCAUCUGGACUGAAAAUGACCUCCCACCGAGGAACUAGACGUUUCCCAAGACCCAAUGCCGCCUUAAUCAGGUAACUUCGACUUGCUUGCUCUCAUCUGGAACCUCCUCUUCCACACCUCCCCCAUUUAAAUUUAUGAUUUGUUUAUUCCUUAGAGUUAGCUCACCACCUUCCUUAUAUGGGACCUGCUGCUAGCCUCAAAAUUCCAUGGGCAGUGGCUUGGGCUUCAUUUUCUUACCCACCCAGUACUAUAAGACAGCCUUCUAAACAGAAGAUGGUCAAUUAAUUUGGGAGAAAAGGAAAUAAUGAGCAAAGAUUAUCUUUUAUUAUGAUUUAAGUGUCAUACAGUUUGAAUAAACUAAGCAAAUCUAGGUCCA
rnacentral:lncRNA from 1 species